CAAGGGUACAAAAUCACCAAUGCUAUAAUGAAAACCAGUAAACAAAAUUACUGAAUGAAUACAGGAUCUUAAUUUUAUUUUCUUAAAUCUAAAUCCCACAAGUCUAGUAUAGAUUUCUCCUUAGAACAAUUUCCCCAAACAGAUUAAAACAAUAAUGCCUAAUUGUGUGAAAUGCUUCUGUGUUAUAUGUUGACAAAUCCGAGUGUUAGGUAAUUUUACACAAAAAUACUGCCUUCACAGAAUACUUUUAACAAAGCAGGACAAUAUUAUAUGAGUCAGAUUUUUGUGUUUCUAAAAUUCUCUGUUCUUAAGAAUUUUAAAUUGAAAGAUAAAAUUUUUAAAUGAGAUGCGAACAAGAAUGCCUAUAAGAGUAAA
rnacentral:lncRNA from 1 species